UACGUAGGUGGCAAGCGUUGUUCGGAAUUACUGGGCGUAAAGGGCUCGUAGGCGGCCAACUAAGUCAGACGUGAAAUCCCUCGGCUUAACCGGGGAACUGCGUCUGAUACUGGAUGGCUUGAGAUUGGGAGAGGGAUGCGGAAUUCCAGGUGUAGCGGUGAAAUGCGUAGAUAUCUGGAGGAACACCGGUGGCGAAGGCGGUGAUCUGGGCCGGCACUGACGCUGAGGAGCGAAAGCGUGGGUAGCAAACAGG
rnacentral:rRNA from 1 species